CCCUUGGUAGCUCAACUGGUGGAGCAGACUGUGGUUCUGAAGGUUAUUGGUUCAAGUCCAAUCCAAGGGA
rnacentral:tRNA from 1 species